CUCUUACAGUUUACCUGUCUUUUUCAGUUUUCUAUCACAUGGGGCAGAAACUCAAUUCUGUGGAUGUGCAGCAGCAGUCUGCCAGCCAUGGAGAUCUUGCACAUCACUUCUUCAACUCUGAACAGUAGGAGCUAUGAUCUCUUCCCAGUUCCUCAGUCAAAUGUAUCUGAGAUUAUUUCAGUGCUGAACGAAACCCCAGGCAUGAGCUGAAGACAUCUUCUCCUUUCUCCAUUGUCUAUUAAUGGAGGAAAACUCACCGUGGGAUGCAGCAGGUGAAGGAGUUCACCUCCCCUUCAUCUACAUCUUCAGUCUGUAGCAGCUGCAGAGCAGUUCUUGACAUGCUCUAUCGUACUGCCAGAUUACAUUUAGGCUAAGACAUUCCAUUAUGUAGUUUAGGUAAUGUAAAUUUAUUUUCUUUGGAAAAAAAU
ensembl:lncRNA